AUGCAUGGCUGUUGUGGUAAAUGGUCUGUCUCAUCGGUAGGCCGGACUGAAGUGCAGCCAUGCUAAAAUAACAUGUUUCUGAGUCAACAGGGCCACCAGUCUCUCAAGAACAGACUGUGUUGGUAGUAUAAGACUCAUACAUCU